rnacentral:rRNA from 1 species
UGGAUCCAGACUUUGAUCCUGGCUCAGGAUGAACGCUAGCUACAGGCUUAACACAUGCAAGUCGAGGGGCAGCAUGAACUUAGCUUGCUAAGUUUGAUGGCGACCGGCGCACGGGUGAGUAACACGUAUCCAACCUUCCGUUUACUCAGGAAUAGCCUUUCGAAAGAAAGAUUAGUACCUGAUAGUAUGGUGAGAUUGCAUGAUAACACCAUUAAAGAUUUAUUGGUAAACCAUGGGGAUGCGUUCCAUUAGGUAGUAGGCGGGGUAACGGCCCACCUAGCCUGCGAUGGAUAGGGGUUCUGAGAGGAAGAUCCCCCACAUUGGAACUGAGACACGGUCCAAACUCCUACGGGAGGCAGCAGUGAGGAAUAUUGGUCAAUGGGCGAGAGCCUGAACCAGCCAAGUAGCGUGAAGGAUGAAGGUCCUACGGAUUGUAAACUUCUUUUAUACGGGAAUAAAGUAUCCUACGUGUAGGAUUUUGUGUGUACCGUAUGAAUAAGCAUCGGCUAACUCCGUGCCAGCAGCCGCGGUAAUACGGAGGAUGCGAGCGUUAUCCGGAUUUAUUGGGUUUAAAGGGAGCGCAGACGGGAGAUUAAGUCAGUUGUGAAAGUUUGCGGCUCAACCGUAAAAUUGCAGUUGAUACUGGCUUCCUUGAGUGCAGUUGAGGCAGGCGGAAUUCGUGGUGUAGCGGUGAAAUGCUUAGAUAUCACGAAGAACCCCGAUUGCGAAGGCAGCUUGCUAAACUGUAACUGACGUUCAUGCUCGAAAGUGUGGGUAUCAAACAGGAUUAGAUACCCUGGUAGUCCACACGGUAAACGAUGGAUACUCGCUGUUGGCGAUAUGCUGUCAGCGGCCAAGCGAAAGCAUUAAGUAUCCCACCUGGGGAGUACGCCGGCAACGGUGCAACUCAAAUGAAUUGACGGA